rnacentral:rRNA from 1 species
GUGAAAUUCCGUCGGAAUCUGGGAGGACCAUCUCCUAAGGCUAAAUACUCUCUAGUGACCGAUAGUGAACCAGUACCGUGAGGGAAAGGUGAAAAGCACCCCGGAAGGGGAGUGAAAUAGAACCUGAAACCGUGUGCUUACAAGUAGUCAGAGCCCGUUAAUGGGUGAUGGCGUGCCUUUUGUAGAAUGAACCGGCGAGUUACGAUUUGAUGCAAGGUUAAGCAGUAAAUGUGGAGCCGUAGCGAAAGCGAGUCUGAAUAGGGCGUUUAGUAUUUGGUCGUAGACCCGAAACCAGGUGAUCUACCCUUGGUCAGGUUGAAGUUCAGGUAACACUGAAUGGAGGACCGAACCGACUUACGUUGAAAAGUGAGCGGAUGAACUGAGGGUAGCGGAGAAAUUCCAAUCGAACCUGGAGAUAGCUGGUUCUCUCCGAAAUAGCUUUAGGGCUAGCCUCAAGUGAUGAUUAUUGGAGGUAGAGCACUGUUUGGACGAGGGGCCCCUCUCGGGUUACCGAAUUCAGACAAACUCCGAAUGCCAAUUAAUUUAACUUGGGAGUCAGAACAUGGGUGAUAAGGUCCGUGUUCGAAAGGGAAACAGCCCAGACCACCAGCUAAGGUCCCAAAAUAUAUGUUAAGUGGAAAAGGAUGUGGCGUUGCCCAGACAACUAGGAUGUUGGCUUAGAAGCAGCCAUCAUUUAAAGAGUGCGUAAUAGCUCACUA